rnacentral:lncRNA from 1 species
UAUGUUUUUAAUUGCUUUUGAUUACUUUUAUUACGUUUUUCUAGUAUUUGUAGUUUCAAAACUCUUUUCAGGAAACUUAGGGAAAAGCUUAACAAAAUGGAUAGAAAACCAGAUUUCAGCUCAGAGUCAAACCGUCAGAAGUUCACCCCUGAUUGAAGGCCUUCUCACCGUCUGAUCCAGCUCAAAUUUGGAGACCUUAAAGAUGGAAGUAUCAGCUUUCCAGUGCACUUUACAGCUUCGCAAUCCAAC